rnacentral:rRNA from 1 species
CUAACACAUGCAAGUCGAGCGGCAGCGAGGUUAGUAGCAAUACUAAUUGUCGGCGAGCGGCGGACGGGUGAGGAACACGUAGGGAUCUGCCUUAGCGAGGGGGAUAACCAAGGGAAACUUUGGCUAAUACCGCAUAAACUCGGGAGAGAAAAGCUGCCUGCAAGGCUGGCGCUUCAAGCGGAACCUGCGUCCGAUUGGCGAGUUGGUAGGGUAAAGGCCUACCAAGGCGAUGAUCGGUAACUGGUCUGAGAGGACGACCAGUCACACUGGGACUGAGACACGGCCCAGACUCCUACGGGAGGCAGCAGUGGGGAAUCUUGGACAAUGGGGGCAACCCUGAUCCAGCGAUGCCGCGUGGGUGAAGAAGGCCUUCGGGUUGUAAAGCCCUUUAGGUUGGGAAGAAGUGCAUAAGUUUAAGAGAUGUAUGCAUUGACGGUACCGACAGAAUAAGCACCGGCAAACUCUGUGCCAGCAGCCGCAGUAA